rnacentral:lncRNA from 1 species
ACGCCGCAGGGGUCCACUCAGCUGUGCGCGCCUCGCGAGCCGACUGGGGCUAGGGCGAGGCCUCGGGACCGCGGGCAGCCGCGAAGCCCGACUGCCCGGCCCUCGGCUCGGGAGCCAGAUGGACGCCGUGGGCUGAGGAGAGGCCUGAGGAAAAGGUUGCCCCCACCCGCGGGAUUGAGGCGGCCGGGCCGCCGCGGGCCUCUGCGACGCUGAUAGGUCGCGCCUUGGCGGGCGGGGGCAGCUUUGGCGGGAGAUUCGGCCGCGCGCGACGCGGCGCAGGUCGUGGGGGAAGGGUAAGCGGCACGUUUCUCGGCCUGGGUCGUGGCGCAUCUCCCAUUGGUUCCGGCCUGGGUGGAGCGCGGCUCUGCUUGGUUCCUGCCCAGGUGGGGGCGUGUCUCCUCCCUGGCGGGAACCCGGAACCCGGAACCCGGAAGGCGCGGCCUGUGGCGGGUACUGACUGCUUCCCACGGUCCCGUGGCCGCUGCAGGCCCCGUACGCGCCGUCUAUUGUUUUGAGCCGCUUAAAGUUUUGGAGUAACCUUUUAGGUCGCAACAGUUGACAACUACACUGAGUCUUUCCGGUCCCACUGCCCUGGCCGUUGACCGCACACCGGCCACCGACUGAGCCGCUAGUUUCGGUUGCCGCUGCCUCCCUGCCCGUCCAUGACGUCCUCCACUGUGUCGCCGGUGCAUGACGCUCCCACCCUCUGCCUGGAGUUGACUGGGUUUGUAUCCUGAAGAAUCCCUGGCUCAGCAGGAUUACGUGUACUGUUUCCCCAAGAACCAUCCUGUGGGUCAAGAAGCAGAAUGGGGAAAAGGCAGCAAGCACUCACUGUCCGGUUGCUGGGGUGCUCACCUGAGGGCCCAGUGCUGUGGGGAACCCCAGGCUGCUGUCUUGGCUGCCCUAGGUGCUCGGCUGGCAAUUCCUGGGCCACCCUGACCCACAGUGAGGUCAGUAGAGACAGCCUGGUGUCCUCACAGGACGCAGCUGCAAACAUAAGUGAACCGGAAAGGCUGCUCACUCCUUGGCUACCCAUGUGUCCCCACAUCAGUUCCUGCAUCUGGAAGCAGCCGCAGUGGCGACCACACAGUGACUUCCCCCAGGACGUGUCUCUGCCCCUCCCACCCUGCUCCUGCAGAGGGCCCUGGGUCAGGGGUUCUCAAGACCCCAGAGUCCCUAACCAGAAAUCAGAGGGGAAGGUUCCUACUGUACCCGCCUCCCAACCAAUGGGUUUUUCCUCCUUAUUCUGAACAAAGCACGCCACGCACGCAAUUCCACCUCUAAGGUGGCUUCUCCAAUACCCACAGGCCAUUCUCCAACUAUGACAAAAGUUUGGUUUUAAUAUCGGGCAACACAAAACACAGUACAUCACUUCAGACUAAAU